GUAAAACACACCGGCUGUGAAACUCCGGGGCCCUGCGGUGAGGCUCAGAGCGUUGUAACCAAACACUGAUCAGGAGGGGGAAACACGAGGUAAAAAGAGGUUCUGAGGGCAGCUGAAGCUGUUGUGCUUUAAAAAUAACAGCCUGCCUCGAUCCAUGCCUGUAUUCAGAAGGAAACUGAAGUUAAAAGAAGACAGGGUAUAGGACACACUGGUGUCCAUCCUUCAAAUUGCAGCUCUUCAUUAGUGAUAAUGAGGGCUGUGCAGAGACCAUCCACAGCAAAGUGGCAUGAAUGGAAGAGUGACACUGGGCUGUCAUUUUAAUUGGGAUAUUUACAUAUAAACAGACUCCACGGAGAAUGAAAGCUAUCUCUGGGACCAAAGGGACAGAAAUUUUGUGAGCAAACACACUAGUGCUCAAUAAAUGAAACAGAAUAUUCUGACUUCUUAAGCUUUCUGUAUCAGCUCUCAUCACAAAAGGUAUUUCAGAAGAACACAAAACCAACAGGGAGACAGCCAUGAAAAAUCUGGGAAGAGCAGUACAACUCAUUCCAUUCUUUUAAAAAAUAGUCUCAUAGAGUUAAGAGUUUUCUCCAGAAUGAAAAGCAGCUGUAAUUUUCAUAUUUUUUCCUACUGCUUUUACUUCACCUUACAUGUUUUAAAUGCCCUGUUUUUAGGAUCACCUGCUAUGCAUAGCAGGCAUGUCAGGCUUGAAAGAAAGCCAUUAUUUGCAGUCAGUCAACAUGCAAAUGUUUCAAGCAUGAGUAGCCUUACUCCACUUAGAGCACAUGAACGUAAGCAAUACCACGGGGCAGCACGUUUUUAAUCCAGCCCUGAAACAGAACAUUUUCAGUUAAGUCACUGAGAAAUCCGCGGGGUUCUGUUUGCACAGAGCACAUUUAUUGUGCAUAAAGCAGCCUCAGAGAGCCGUGCCGGACAGGCUGAUUGCAGCGUGCCCUCUGUGUUUGCAUCCCCAGCGCUCACAGGAAUGGAUUUCACACGCCUUGAGCCGACUUAACAACCACUUGUUAGUUUCCAUAGCAAGAGCUGCUUGGAGCUGGCGCUGGAAGUGCCCGUGAGCUUUUUCUGUGCAGCUGGAAAUGAACCAGCGUGGCUGAGAAACAGGAAACACUUUAGCAGAACUGGAGAUGAGCUUCUUUUGGAUUCUGCUGAAUGGGAUGCGUUUUUCUGCCUAAAGUUUCUGCGGCUCUCAGCAUGGAAAAUGCCAUUAAGGGUGGCUUUCAGAUCUGGGCAAGAUCCUAUUGUCGAGAUGCCUUUGUAGGGGGAUACCGUGGAAAAUCGCACGUUAGGGAUGGUGAAAGCAGGAGGAAAAGCAGCUGCUUCUCGUAGAGUGUGCCGCCUCCUGUACAUCCACUUAAGGACUUCUUUCCCAUCCCUCGUGGAUUUGUGUGCGACUUAGAAUACAUUAUCCCCUGCCCUUAGCGAAGGGUUCAAAACGCUUAUGGCAUGCAUGCAACAGCAUCAAUCCGUUAAAGAGAAUCCGCACGUUUCUCUGCACAUGUAAGAGCCCCUCACCUGCACAUCCUCCUCUCUCCAGGAAGGAGGGAAGGAAACCCCAGGGCGCCUCGGCUCCCUGCCUGCAGCCUCCCCUUCCCUUUCCUUCCCUUGCCGUGCACAGAGGGGCAGCCCCCGCAAAAGGGGAGCUCGCUGGGGCUCGGGUGGCUCCGCUGUCCUGCGGAGGGACAGGGGUCCUGGAGGCUGCCGAGCUGGGGAAGCCAUCCCGGGCAGAAGAGAUCUCGGGCAGAAGAGAUCCCGGGCAGAAGAGAUCUCGGGCAGCAGCGGUGCCGGGCACCCCGCUCCCCGCGGCGGACACUGACCUGUGCAACAGGACGCUCUGCACCGAGUCCAGGUCCUCCAGGUUCCUGGUGACGGGCCGCGGGAUGCUGUACCUGCCCGCCCCGAACAUGGGCACUGCGGGCGGCCGCGGGCAGGUGGAGAGAGCCCCGCAGCCCGCCCGUCUGUCCGCCCGUCCGUCUGUCCGUCCGUCUGUCCGCUCCGGGGCCCAGCGGCGCCGCGGCGCGGGGCGCGGGGGAAGCGCGGCCGGGAGAGCGCGCCUGCUCCGCCGCGCUGGGACACGGCGUGUGUGGUUUGUGUCAGGAACUCGCCAAGCGUGAAAAGCACAGUUUGAGAUGAAUGAAGUAAAGCAAUUCCUAGCUGCAGCCGUAGAUUUACACCUCCCCCCCACCCAGAGCUUCAUGCCCAGCGCCUGCUAUGUGAGAAAAUAGUUCUUCCCCGUGUAUUUUCCUGCUGGUCAAAGUAAUGGAUUUGAAUUUUGAAUUUUGAAUUCCGGUUGAUCCUCUUUCCUUAAGUAACAAUGUGAAUAAUUACCAAUCGCACAAAAUCCAAUCCGGUCUUUAUUCCCUCUUCC